UUCUGGAGAAAGGUUUAAUUUGAACCCCGGAGAUGAUUUUGGUGUGGUAUUAACAGGUACUGUGUUUGCUUUAAACUUAAACGACUCAAAUAAAAGAAAUUACGUUUUUGAAUUUUCAUAAAAACAUACAUGUAACUGAUGCAGAAUGUGUUGACAUUGAAUACUCUGUUCAUUCUGUAAAUAAGAAUGUCAUAAUAAUUAUUAUUUUGCUUGCGAUAGACAGGAAUGCGGCAGCCAUACUGCAGGAAUUCUAUACACAUAUUUGAAAGAGUACAGAGCUCAAAUUAAUAAUCUUCAGAGGAGAUUACUUCUUUCCUUCUUGCUGCUCCUGUGCUUGUCAAUGUCCCUGGGGUAUGGCCUAUAGAAUCAAAUAGUUCUCUCUCUAUACGCAUUUUUGAUCAACAACUAAACGAAUAUAUGUAAAGGACUGUAUUGUAAAAAAUGGCUCUGGUUUGAUGAAGCGAAAUGGAACCAAUUGGAUAGGAAGGGCUAACACUACAUAUACAAUUUUGGCACAAAGGUUUUGCCCGUUAGAUUACUGCAAUAAUAUUUUUGUAGACAUACAGAGUACUGAAAGUACUGAUAACCAGUCUGCUUUCAAUCACAGUGGUGUUCUCUGUGGAGGCUGUGCACCUGGUUUCAGUCUGGCUAUCGGCAGCUCUAGGUGUAUACACUGUUCCAACAACAAUGGGAUUUCCUUUUUUGUUUUGUUCAUUGUAGUCGGUGUUGCGUUUGUAUUAAUUGUUUAUCAAGCUACUAGACCUCACCGUUGUUCACGGAACUAUAAAUGGGUUGAUUUUUUAUGCAAACAUAAUUAGGAUAUUUCAGGGAAUGUUUUUCCCGAACCUUAACCAAGGGGAGCAGCAAAACAUCGUUUACGACAUAAGACUUGUCAUUGCUUGGAUAUUAAAAUCUAGAUUUUGAUAUUGAAACUUGCUUUAUUGACGUGCUUGAUACCUAUGGUAAAAUACCUGUGUAUCUUCGGUUUUUAGCUAAACUCAUCCGUACUAAUUUGCAAGCUUUUAGAUCAGUAUAGUGUUAAAUAAGUUUACUAGUGUUCAAGCUUUUGGACCUGUAGUGUUAGCUUGAAGUCCCGCUUUGAGAUGGUUGUUGGAUGCUAAACUCACUUUCUUCGAAAAUCCUCAUGCUUUUCUUUCUGUUGUGGCAUUACUUAUAUUUCUUUUUUUCUGCUUACCGUACACACUACUACUUUUUGUUGUUGGCUAGCUGAACUAUCUUCCUUUUGAUUGUGCUUCUCGUCUAUUGGUUAAGUUUAAGCCCACCGCGUACCGUACGAUACACACACCAUAGAUACUAUAAAUUACAUGGAUAUGAAACGCCUCUAGAUUACAGUGAUUCCAGAUAGUAUCCGGAGUUUUGCUGGGAGGAGGAUUGUCUCACAGCUACCAGAAAAUGAAGAGCUACUGGCAAGCAAAGAAUCUGUUGUCACAAGAGUCUACGAUUGAAAACUGAAGUGAUACCACUAUGAUUGGCUUUAACUAGGUCUGUAAACCAGACUAUGUAUACCUCAGACAAUGCCUCGCGAGAAGAAGGAACCAUUCAUUGACUGGCGAAAGAAUGACACGAGAAUGUGACGUCCAUAUGUCUAUGUCAAAGCCUCUACUCCACAUCAGCUAUUAUAGCCAAGCAUUAUCAUGAUUCAUUCAUUUCCAAUCUAUCUAGACACAUAGUUUUUGUUAUUAAAUAAUAAUAAUUUGUGCUAUAUUAAAUCCCAGAAUGCACAUGUAAAGUUAUUCUUGUUAUUGUCAAGCCUCCAUCAUCAUCAUUCUCAGUCAGAAAUUUUCAAAAGUCAUCUGAGACGCUCUCAGAGCUGAAACAACUAGAGACACACUUUCAGUAGCCAUUUUUAUUUGGAAAAAUUUGUAUACUAGA